GCGAAUCUUAGAUACAACAUACUACAGCAAAAAGAGUAGAGUUUGAAGUAGCAAUGACGUUUAUGAGAAACGUUUUGAUUUUGCCGGGUUACAUAGUGUGCUAGUGUGCUAUACAAUGUAAACCUGAUGUAAACUUCUUACAUGAAACUAUUAACCAUAAACUGAUGUCAUUGUGAAUCUGUUUUGUUAGUGUCUUUUUGUCAAUGUAUCAAAUGUAACCGAAAUAUUUUACUAUUAAUUUAUCUUAUUAAAACUUUAUAUUCUUUAAA